UGGAGACUUUGGAGCCAAUGUGAGGGUA
rnacentral:piRNA from 1 species